UUACGCCUGCUGUGUGCGAUAAUUUUAUAGCCUAUAUUAACCCUACAAUCUUAAAAUUGGGGGCCUUUCUCCGCUACCGGGAUGCAGACCUCCCGUAUAUGUUUAAUAAUAUAUGGAAGAAGGGAGCGCAAAAGUAUCGGGCGGCAACCCACCCUGCUUUCAACGCAGGUUACUAUUGGCUAUAAGACGGCACGGCGGGUAUUUU
rnacentral:other from 1 species